AUUUAAACGAAGAAGAGAAGAGUAGCUUAUCAUAAUCAGUUAUUAGAGACCUCUGCAUGGUGAAAAAGAGGACUGAUGAAGUGAGUGAAGAUGAACUCUGAGUUUCUGAAAGGUUAACGCUUUUUAGACGGUAGCAACCGUUAUAUUGCCAAGCUUCAUAGGAGCUUUAGAGGUGUUGGGUUUUCUAACUAACAUAAAUUAGGGUGGUAACACGGAAUCAAUCCGUCCCUUUG
rnacentral:ncRNA from 1 species